AGCUCCAAUAGCGUAUAUUAAAGUUGUUGCAGUUAAAAAGCUCGUAGUUGGAUUUGUGGUGUACUUCGGCGGCCCGUCACUAUGUGAUGGAGCUUGCUGAAGUCGCCAUCCUUGGGUGGAUCCUGUGUGGCAUUAAGUUGUCGUGCAGGGGAUGCCCAUCGUUUACUGUGAAAAAAUUAGAGUGUUCAAAGCAGGCUUAUGCCGUUGAAUAUAUUAGCAUGGAAUAAUAAGAUAGGACCUUGGUACUAUUUUGUUGGUUUGCGCACCAAGGUAAUGAUUAAUAGGGACAGUUGGGGGUAUUCGUAUUUCAUUGUCAGAGGUGAAAUUCUUGGAUUUUUGAAAGACGAACUACUGCGAAAGCAUUUACCAAGGAUGUUU
rnacentral:rRNA from 1 species